AGGAUCAUUAAUGAAAUUAUAAUCCGGCGAGGGGAAAGGCGGAGAGUUGUAGCUGGCCUCCAGGGGCCAUGUGCACGCUCUCUUCCGGACCUUUCGCCGUAUGGGCGCGGGGCGACCCGCGUCUUCAUAUACCUCUUCGUGUAGAAAGUCUUUGAAUGUUUUACCAUCAUCGAGUCGCGACUUCUAGGAGACGCGAUUCUUUGAGAAAAAAGUUAUUACAACUUUCAGCAACGGAUCUCUUGGCUCUCGCAUCGAUGAAGAACGCAGCGAAUCGCGAUAUGUAAUGUGAAUUGCAGAUCUACAGUGAAUCAUCGAAUCUUUGAACGCACCUUGCGCUCCUCGGUGUUCCGAGGAGCAUGCCUGUUUGAGUGUCAGUAAAUUCUCAACCCCUCUCGAUUUGCUUCGAGCGGGUGCUUGGAUGUUGGGGGCUGCCGGAGACACUGGAUUCGUCCAGGACUCGGGCUCCUCUUAAAUGAAUCGGCUCGCGGUCGACUUUCGACUUUGCAUGACAAGGCCUUUGGCGUGAUAAUGAUCGCCGUUCGCCGAAGUGCAAGACAGAAUGGUCCCGUGCCUCUAAUGCGUCGACGCCUCUAGGGGCGUCUUCCUCAUUGACGUUUGACCUCAAAUCAGGUAGGACUACCCGCUGAACUUAAGCAUAUCAAUAAGCGGAGGA
rnacentral:rRNA from 1 species